rnacentral:rRNA from 1 species
UCCGUUAAGGGUGACCUGCGGAAGGAUCAUUAAUGAAAUUCUGACUGAGGUUGUAGCUGGUCCUUCACAGGGCAUGUGCACACCUCUUUCACAAUCCACACACACCUGUGCACCUUUGCGUGAGUUUCGGGAAUCGGUCGGGUGGCAACGCCCUUCUGUAGUACCGGGCUCGCGUCCUUUUCACAAACUCUAUGUAUGUCUUAAGAAUGUCUACUCGAUGUAAUAAAACGCAUCUAAUACAACUUUCAACAACGGAUCUCUUGGCUCUCGCAUCGAUGAAGAACGCAGCGAAAUGCGAUAAGUAAUGUGAAUUGCAGAAUUCAGUGAAUCAUCGAAUCUUUGAACGCACCUUGCGCCCUUUGGUAUUCCGAAGGGCACACCUGUUUGAGUGUCGUGAAAUUCUCAACCCUCCUCACUUUUGUGACGGCUGGGCUUGGACUUGGAGGCUUUGCCGGACCAUCUGCGUUCGGCUCCUCUCAAAUGCAUUAGUACGUCUCGUUGCGAUGUACCCUCGGUGUGAUAAUUAUCUACGCUGUGGUGUGCUUGCUUCUGGUGGGACGUGCUUCAAACCGUCCGAAAGGACACUUCAUCGAAAUUUGACCUCAAAUCAGGUGGGACUACCCGCUGAACUUAAGCAUAUCAAUAAGCGGAGGAAG